rnacentral:rRNA from 1 species
UACGUAGGGGGCAAGCGUUGUCCGGAUUUAUUGGGCGUAAAGAGCGUGUAGGCGGCUUGACAGGUCUGCUGUGAAAACUCGAGGCUCAACCUCGAGAUGUCGGCGGAAACCGUCUGGCUAGAGUCCGGAAGAGGAGAGUGGAAUUCCUGGUGUAGCGGUGAAAUGCGCAGAUAUCAGGAGGAACACCGGUGGCGAAGGCGGGUCUCUGGGCCGAUACUGACGCUGAGGAGCGAAAGCAUGGGGAGCGAACAGG